rnacentral:rRNA from 1 species
GACGAACGCUGGCGGCGUGCUUAACACAUGCAAGUCGAGCGGAAAGGCCCUUCGGGUACUCGAGCGGCGAACGGGUGAGUAACACGUGGGUAACCUGCCCCUUGCUCUGGGAUAACUCCGGGAAACCGGGGCUAAUACCGGAUAUGACACUUGAAGGCAUCUUUGGGUGUGGAAAGUUUUCGGCGAGGAUGGACCCGCGGCCUAUCAGCUUGUUGGUGGGGUAAUGGCCUACCAAGGCAGUGACGGGUAGCCGGCCUGAGAGGGCGACCGGCCACACUGGGACUGAGACACGGCCCAGACUCCUACGGGAGGCAGCAGUGGGGAAUAUUGCGCAAUGGGCGAAAGCCUGACGCAGCGACGCCGCGUGAGGGAUGAC